AGAUUGAACGCUGGCGGCAUGCCUAACACAUGCAAGUCGAACGGGAGUAGCAAUACUCUAGUGGCGGACGGGUGAGGAAUACGUAGGAAUUUGCCCUUAAGUGGGGGAUAACCCGGGGAAACCCGGAUUAAUACCGCAUGACCUCGAAAGAGCAAAGUGGGGGAUCGCAAGACCUCACGCUUUUGGAGAAGCCUACGUCGGAUUAGCUAGUUGGUGAGGUAAUGGCUCACCAAGGCGACGAUCCGUAACUGGUCUGAGAGGAUGAUCAGUCACACCGGAACUGAGACACGGUCCGGACUCCUACGGGAGGCAGCAGUGGGGAAUAUUGGACAAUGGGCGCAAGCCUGAUCCAGCAAUGCCGCGUGUGUGAAGAAGGCCUUCGGUUGUAAAGCUAACUUUAAGUUAGGGAAGAAAAACUCGACUCGUAACACAGUGAGUCUUGACGGUACGACAGAAUAAGCACCGGACUAACUCUGUGCCAGCAGCCGCGU
rnacentral:rRNA from 1 species